GCGGGUUUGGCGGAAUUGGUAGACGCGCUUGGAUUUAGGUUCCAGUAUCGCAAGAUGUGAGAGUUCAAGUCUCUUGACCCGUACCA
rnacentral:tRNA from 1 species